GCAGUUCUGCAAGCAGAGCUAGAGCGCAUGAAAGUUGAGAAUCUACGGUUAAGAGAUAUGCUGAAUCAGGUUACCAGCAAUUACAAUUCGUUACAGAUGCAUUUAGUCACAAUUAUGCAGGACCAAAAGCCUCGAGAGAGCAAUCAAGAGCAUGUGCAAGAUGGAUUAGACAGAAAACUUGAAGACAAUAAGAAACAUAGCGGGAAUGGAGUAGUGGUUCCUCGACAGUUCAUGGAUCUUGGUCCGGCUACUGCUGCCACUAUUGGUGGGGGUGGUGACACAGAUGAGCUUUCUUUAUCUUCAUCAGAAGGAAGAAGUCGCGAUCGAUCGAGGUCACCGGGAAAUAAUGAAGAGAAUCGAAAUAAUAAUGAAGAUGGGAUGGUGUUUGAUCAAGAAAAGAAGGGGAAUAUUGGCAGAGAAGAUAGUCCAGAUCAAGGGUCCCAGGGUUGGGGUCCUAGCAAGGUUGCUAGAUUUAAUUCCACAAAAAGUAAUAUUGACC
rnacentral:misc_RNA from 1 species